rnacentral:rRNA from 1 species
CGAUAACGGCGUCGAGCGGCGGACGGGUGAGUAAUGCCUAGGAAAUUGCCCUGAUGUGGGGGAUAACCAUUGGAAACGAUGGCUAAUACCGCAUGAUGCCUACGGGCCAAAGAGGGGGACCUUCGGGCCUCUCGCGUCAGGAUAUGCCUAGGUGGGAUUAGCUAGUUGGUGAGGUAAGGGCUCACCAAGGCGACGAUCCCUAGCUGGUCUGAGAGGAUGAUCAGCCACACUGGAACUGAGACACGGUCCAGACUCCUACGGGAGGCAGCAGUGGGGAAUAUUGCACAAUGGGCGCAAGCCUGAUGCAGCCAUGCCGCGUGUGUGAAGAAGGCCUUCGGGUUGUAAAGCACUUUCAGUCGUGAGGAAGGUAGUGUAGUUAAUAGCUGCAUUAUUUGACGUUAGCGACAGAAGAAGCACCGGCUAACUCCGUGCCAGCAGCCGCGGUAAUACGGAGGGUGCGAGCGUUAAUCGGAAUUACUGGGCGUAAAGCGCAUGCAGGUGGUUUGUUAAGUCAGAUGUGAAAGCCCGGGGCUCAACCUCGGAAUUGCAUUUGAAACUGGCAGACUAGAGUACUGUAGAGGGGGGUAGAAUUUCAGGUGUAGCGGUGAAAUGCGUAGAGAUCUGAAGGAAUACCGGUGGCGAAGGCGGCCCCCUGGACAGAUACUGACACUCAGAUGCGAAAGCGUGGGGAGCAAACAGGAUUAGAUACCCUGGUAGUCCACGCCGUAAACGAUGUCUACUUGGAGGUUGUGGCCUUGAGCCGUGGCUUUCGGAGCUAACGCGUUAAGUAGACCGCCUGGGGAGUACGGUCGCAAGAUUAAAACUCAAAUGAAUUGACGGGGGCCCGCACAAGCGGUGGAGCAUGUGGUUUAAUUCGAUGCAACGCGAAGAACCC